rnacentral:rRNA from 1 species
AUUGAACGCUGGCGGCAUGCUUUACACAUGCAAGUCGAACGGUAACAGGGAGCUUGCUCCGCUGACGAGUGGCGAACGGGUGAGUAAUGCAUCGGAACGUACCCAGUCGUGGGGGGAUAACGUAGCGAAAGUUACGCUAAUACCGCAUACGUCCUGAGGGAGAAAGCGGGGGACCGAAAGGCCUCGCGCGAUUGGAGCGGCCGAUGUCGGAUUAGCUAGUUGGUAGGGUAAAGGCCUACCAAGGCAACGAUCCGUAGCGGGUCUGAGAGGAUGAUCCGCCACACUGGGACUGAGACACGGUCCAGACUCCUACGGGAGGCAGCAGUGGGGAAUUUUGGACAAUGGGCGCAAGCCUGAUCCAGCCAUGCCGCGUGAGUGAAGAAGGCCUU